rnacentral:rRNA from 1 species
ACCCGCACAAGCGGUGGAUGAUGUGGUUUAAUUCGAUGCAACGCGAAAAACCUUACCCACCUUUGACAUGUACGGAAUCCUUUAGAGAUAGAGGAGUGCUCGAAAGAGAGCCGUAACACAGGUGCUGCAUGGCUGUCGUCAGCUCGUGUCGUGAGAUGUUGGGUUAAGUCCCGCAACGAGCGCAACCCUUGUCAUUAGUUGCUACGAAAGGGCACUCUAAUGAGACUGCCGGUGACAAACCGGAGGAAGGUGGGGAUGACGUCAAGUCCUCAUGGCCCUUAUAGGUGGGGCUACACACGUCAUACGAUGGCUGGUACAAAGGGUUGCCAACCCGCGAGGGGGAGCCAAUCCCAUAAAGCCAGUCGUAGUCCGGAUCGCAGUCUGCAACUCGACUGCGUGAAGUCGGAAUCGCUAGUAAUCGUGGAUCAGAAUGUCCACGGUCGAAUACGUUCCCGGGCCUU